UACGUAGGGCGCGAGCGUUGUCCGGAAUUAUUGGGCGUAAAGAGCUCGUAGGUGGCUUGUUGCGUCUGCCGUGAAAGCCCGUGGCUUAACUACGGGUCUGCGGUGGAUACGGGCAGACUAGAGGCUGGUAGGGGCAAGCGGAAUUCCUGGUGUAGCGGUGAAAUGCGCAGAUAUCAGGAGGAACACCGGUGGCGAAGGCGGCUUGCUGGGCCAGUUCUGACGCUGAGGAGCGAAAGCGUGGGGAGCGAACAGG
rnacentral:rRNA from 1 species